rnacentral:rRNA from 1 species
UACGUAGGCAGCGAGCGUUGUUCGGAGUUACUGGGCGUAAAGCGUGCGUAGCGGUGCCAUAAGUCUGUUGUGAAAUCUCCCGGCUUAACUGGGAGGGUGCGGUGGAAACUGUGGUGCUGGAGUGUGGGAGAGGUAGGCGGAAUUCCUGGUGUAGCGGUGGAAUGCGUAGAGAUCCGGAAGAACACCGGUGGCGAAGGCGGCCUGCUGGGCAGUGGCUGACGCUGAGGCGCGACAGCGUGGGGAGCAAACAGGG